rnacentral:rRNA from 1 species
AUUGAACGCUGGCGGCAUGUUUUACACAUGCAAGUCGAACGGUAACAGGCCGCAAGGUGCUGACGAGUGGCGAACGGGUGAGUAAUGCAUCGGAACGUGCCCAGUCGUGGGGGAUAACUGCUCGAAAGAGCAGCUAAUACCGCAUACGAUCUAUGGAUGAAAGCGGGGGACCGUAAGGCCUCGCGCGCUUGGAGCGGCCGAUGGCAGAUUAGGUAGUUGGUGGGGUAAAGGCUCACCAAGCCAACGAUCUGUAGCUGGUCUGAGAGGACGACCAGCCACACUUGGACUGAGACACGGCCCAGACUCCUACGGGAGGCAGCAGUGGGGAAUUUUGGACAAUGGGGGCAACCCUGAUCCAGCAAUGCCGCGUGCAGGAAGAAGGCCUUCGGGUUGUAAACUGCUUUUGUACGGAACGAAACGGUCUGGGUUAAUACCCUGGGCUAAUGACGGUACCGUAAGAAUAAGCACCGGCUAACUACGUGCCAGCCGCCGCGGUAAGAC